UUAAGCGACUAAGCGUACACGGUGGAUGCCCUGGCAGUCAGAGGCGAUGAAGGACGUGCUAAUCUGCGAAAAGCGCCGGCGAGGUGAUAUGAACCUUUGACCCGGCGAUGUCCGAAUGGGGAAACCCAGUGUGUUCCGACACACUAUCGUUAACUGAAUACAUAGGUUAACGAGGCGAACCGGGGGAACUGAAACAUCUAAGUACCCCGAGGAAAAGAAAUCAACCGAGAUUCCCCCAGUAGCGGCGAGCGAACGGGGAGCAGCCCAGAGUCUGAAUCAGCUUGUGUGUUAGUGGAAGCGUCUGGAAAGUCGCACGGUACAGGGUGACAGUCCCGUACACGAAAAUGCACAGGUUGUGAACUCGAAGAGUAGGGCGGGACACGUGGUAUCCUGUCUGAAUAUGGGGGGACCAUCCUCCAAGGCUAAAUACUCCUGACUGACCGAUAGUGAACCAGUACCGUGAGGGAAAGGCGAAAAGAACCCCGGCGAGGGGAGUGAAAUAGAACCUGAAACCGUGUACGUACAAGCAGUGGGAGCACCUUCGUGGUGUGACUGCGUACCUUUUGUAUAAUGGGUCAGCGACUUAUAUUCUGUAGCAAGGUUAACCGUAUAGGGGAGCCGAAGGGAAACCGAGUCUUAACUGGGCGUUAAGUUGCAGGGUAUAGACCCGAAACCCGGUGAUCUAGCCAUGGGCAGGUUGAAGGUUGGGUAACACUAACUGGAGGACCGAACCGACUAAUGUUGAAAAAUUAGCGGAUGACUUGUGGCUGGGGGUGAAAGGCCAAUCAAACCGGGAGAUAGCUGGUUCUCCCCGAAAGCUAUUUAGGUAGCGCCUCGUGAACUCAUCUUCGGGGGUAGAGCACUGUUUCGGCUAGGGGGCCAUCCCGGCUUACCAACCCGAUGCAAACUACGAAUACCGAAGAAUGUUAUCACGGGAGACACACGGCGGGUGCUAACGUCCGUCGUGAAGAGGGAAACAACCCAGACCGCCAGCUAAGGUCCCAAAGUCAUGGUUAAGUGGGAAACGAUGUGGGAAGGCACAGACAGCCAGGAUGUUGGCUUAGAAGCAGCCAUCAUUUAAAGAAAGCGUAAUAGCUCACUGGUCGAGUCGGCCUGCGCGGAAGAUGUAACGGGGCUAAACCAUGCACCGAAGCUGCGGCAGCGACGCUUAUGCGUUGUUGGGUAGGGGAGCGUUCUGUAAGCCGUUGAAGGUGGCCUGUGAGGGUUGCUGGAGGUAUCAGAAGUGCGAAUGCUGACAUAAGUAACGAUAAAGCGGGUGAAAAGCCCGCUCGCCGGAAGACCAAGGGUUCCUGUCCAACGUUAAUCGGGGCAGGGUGAGUCGACCCCUAAGGCGAGGCCGAAAGGCGUAGUCGAUGGGAAACAGGUUAAUAUUCCUGUACUUGGUGUUACUGCGAAGGGGGGACGGAGAAGGCUAUGUUAGCCGGGCGACGGUUGUCCCGGUUUAAGCAUGUAGGCGGAGGUUCCAGGUAAAUCCGGUACCUUAUUAACGCUGAGGUGUGAUGACGAGGCACUACGGUGCUGAAGUAACAAAUGCCCUGCUUCCAGGAAAAGCCUCUAAGCAUCAGGUAACAUCAAAUCGUACCCCAAACCGACACAGGUGGUCAGGUAGAGAAUACCAAGGCGCUUGAGAGAACUCGGGUGAAGGAACUAGGCAAAAUGGUGCCGUAACUUCGGGAGAAGGCACGCUGAUAUGUAGGUGAAGCCCCUGCGGGUGGAGCUGAAAUCAGUCGAAGAUACCAGCUGGCUGCAACUGUUUAUUAAAAACACAGCACUGUGCAAACACGAAAGUGGACGUAUACGGUGUGACGCCUGCCCGGUGCCGGAAGGUUAAUUGAUGGGGUUAGCGGCAACGCGAAGCUCUUGAUCGAAGCCCCGGUAAACGGCGGCCGUAACUAUAACGGUCCUAAGGUAGCGAAAUUCCUUGUCGGGUAAGUUCCGACCUGCACGAAUGGCGUAAUGAUGGCCAGGCUGUCUCCACCCGAGACUCAGUGAAAUUGAACUCGCUGUGAAGAUGCAGUGUACCCGCGGCAAGACGGAAAGACCCCGUGAACCUUUACUAUAGCUUGACACUGAACACUGGUCCUUGAUGUGUAGGAUAGGUGGGAGGCUUUGAAGUGUGGACGCCAGUCUGCAUGGAGCCGUCCUUGAAAUACCACCCUUUAAUGGCUGGUGUUCUAACGUAGACCCGUAAUCCGGGUUGCGGACAGUGUCUGGUGGGUAGUUUGACUGGGGCGGUCUCCUCCCAAAGAGUAACGGAGGAGCACGAAGGUUAGCUAAUCCUGGUCGGACAUCAGGAGGUUAGUGCAAUGGCAUAAGCUAGCUUGACUGCGAGAGUGACGGCUCGAGCAGGUGCGAAAGCAGGUCAUAGUGAUCCGGUGGUUCUGAAUGGAAGGGCCAUCGCUCAACGGAUAAAAGGUACUCCGGGGAUAACAGGCUGAUACCGCCCAAGAGUUCAUAUCGACGGCGGUGUUUGGCACCUCGAUGUCGGCUCAUCACAUCCUGGGGCUGAAGUAGGUCCCAAGGGUAUGGCUGUUCGCCAUUUAAAGUGGUACGCGAGCUGGGUUUAGAACGUCGUGAGACAGUUCGGUCCCUAUCUGCCGUGGGCGCUGGAGAAUUGAGGGGGGCUGCUCCUAGUACGAGAGGACCGGAGUGGACGCAUCACUGGUGUUCGGGUUGUCAUGCCAAUGGCACUGCCCGGUAGCUAAAUGCGGAAAAGAUAAGUGCUGAAAGCAUCUAAGCACGAAACUUGCCCCGAGAUGAGUUCUCCCUGAGACUUUAAGUCUCCUGAAGGAACGUUGAAGACGACGACGUUGAUAGGUCGGGUGUGUAAGCGCAGCGAUGCGUUGAGCUAACCGAUACUAAUGAACCGUGAGGCUUAACCUU
rnacentral:rRNA from 1 species